rnacentral:rRNA from 1 species
GACGAACGCUGGCGGCGCGCCUAACACAUGCAAGUCGAACGAGAGAUGAGGAGCUUGCUCUUCAAAUCGAGUGGCGAACGGGUGAGUAACGCGUGAGGAACCUGCCUCAAAGAGGGGGACAACAGUUGGAAACGACUGCUAAUACCGCAUAAGCCCACGGCUCGGCAUCGAGCAGAGGGAAAAGGAGCAAUCCGCUUUGAGAUGGCCUCGCGUCCGAUUAGCUAGUUGGUGAGGUAACGGCCCACCAAGGCGACGAUCGGUAGCCGGACUGAGAGGUUGAACGGCCACAUUGGGACUGAGACACGGCCCAGACUCCUACGGGAGGCAGCAGUGGGGAAUAUUGCACAAUGGGGGAAACCCUGAUGCAGCGACGCCGCGUGGAGGAAGAAGGUCUUCGGAUUGUAAACUCCUGUUGUUGAGGAAGAUAAUGACGGUACUCAACAAGGAAGUGACGGCUAACUACGUGCCAGCAGCCGCGGUAAAACGUAGGUCACAAGCGUUGUCCGGAAUUACUGGGUGUAAAGGGAGCGCAGGCGGGAGAACAAGUUGGAAGUGAAAUCCAUGGGCUCAACCCAUGAACUGCUUUCAAAACUGUUUUUCUUGAGUAGUGCAGAGGUAGGCGGAAUUCCCGGUGUAGCGGUGGAAUGCGUAGAUAUCGGGAGGAACACCAGUGGCGAAGGCGGCCUACUGGGCACCAACUGACGCUGAGGCUCGAAAGUGUGGGUAGCAAACAGGAUUAGAUACCCUGGUAGUCUACACCGUAAACGAUGAUUACUAGGUGUUGGAGGAUUGACCCCUUCAGUGCCGCAGUUAACACAAUAAGUAAUCCACCUGGGGAGUACGACCGCAAGGUUGAAACUCAAAGGAAUUGACGGGGGCCCGCACAAGCGGAGGAACAUGUGGUUUAAUUCGAUGAUACGCGAGGAACCUUACCCGGGCUUAAAUUGCAACAGAAUAUAUUGGAAACAGUAUAGCCGUAAGGCUGUUGUGAAGGUGCUGCAUGGUUGUCGUCAGCUCGUGCCGUGAGGUGUCGGCUUAAGUGCCAUAACGAGCGCAACCCUUAUCUUUAGUUACUAACAGGUUAUGCUGAGGACUCUAGAGAGACUGCCGUCGUAAGAUGUGAGGAAGGUGGGGAUGACGUCAAAUCAGCACGGCCCUUACGUCCGGGGCUACACACGUGUUACAAUGGGGGGUACAGAAGGCGGCUACCUGGUGACAGGAUGCUAAUCCCAAAAACCUCUCUCAGUUCGGAUCGAAGUCUGCAACCCGACUUCGUGAAGCUGGAUUCGCUAGUAAUCGCGCAUCAGCCAUGGCGCGGUGAAUACGUUCCCGGGCCU